CCCUUAGAUGAUUUGGGCUGCACGCGCGCUACACUGACCCUAACAAUGAGCAACUGUCUGGCCUGAGAUGGCUGGGUAGCCUUUUCAACCCAUGUCAUGAUUGGGCUAGAUUUUUGUAAGUCUUGAUCUCUAACGAGGAAUCCCUAGUAUGCGUGAAUCAUCAAUCCAUGCAGAUUACGUCCCUGCCCUUUGUACACACCGCCCGUCGCACCUACCGAUUGGAUGGUCCGGUGAAGCCUCGGGAUUGUGGUUCUUGCCGCUUUAUUGUGGCGUGACCGCGAGAACUUGUCUAAACCUUAUCAUCUAGAGGAAGGUGAAGUCGUAACA
rnacentral:rRNA from 1 species